GCAUUAAUGGGGUAGCGGUAACCUGGGUCGUUGCCAUUCUCUUUGCGGUCACUUCCACAUCGACCCGCUGGGGGUUCAAUUCCCUCUUAAUGCA
rnacentral:tRNA from 1 species